GAGACAUUAGCUCAGUUGGUAGAGCAUCUGACUUUUAAUCAGAGGGUCGAAGGUUCGAGUCCUUCAUGGCUCA
rnacentral:tRNA from 1 species